rnacentral:rRNA from 1 species
UACGUAGGGCGCAAGCGUUGUCCGGAAUUAUUGGGCGUAAAGAGCUCGUAGGCGGCUGCUCAAGUCGAAUGUGAAAACUCGAGGCUCAACCUCGAGCCUGCAUUCGAUACUGGGCGGCUAGAGUCUGGUAGGGGGAUCUGGAAUUCCUGGUGUAGCGGUGGAAUGCGCAGAUAUCAGGAGGAACACCGGUGGCGAAGGCGGGUCUCUGGGCCGAUACUGACGCUGAGGCACGAAAGCGUGGGGAGCAAACAGG